GACGAACGCUGGCGGCGUGCUUAACACAUGCAAGUCGAACGGAAAGGCCUUUUCGGAGGUACUCGAGUGGCGAACGGGUGAGUAACACGUGGGUGAUCUGCCCUGCACUCUGGGAUAAGCCUGGGAAACUGGGUCUAAUAACGGAUAGGACCGCACUUCAGUGUGUGUGGUGGAAAGUUUUUUCGGUGUAGGAUGAGCCCGCGGCCUAUCAGCUUGUUGGUGGGGUAAUGGCCUACCAAGGCGGCGACUGGUAGCCGGACUGAGAGGUUGGUCGGCCACAUUGGGACUGAGAUACGGCCCAGACUCCUACGGGAGGCAGCAGUGGGGAAUAUUGCACAAUGGGCGCAAGCCUGAUGCAGCGACGCCGCGUGGGGGAUGACGGCCUUCGGGUUGUAAACUCCUUUCGCCAGGGACGAAGCGUUUUGUGACGGUACCUGGAGAAGAAGCACCGGCUAACUACGUG
rnacentral:rRNA from 1 species